CAAUUUUUCCUAAAAAAUUCCUCAUUUUGCCACUUUGGAUGCUUAUAACUCGGUCAGUUUCCAAUGGAUCUUCAAUUGUAACACAGAUUUGGAAAGAUCUGCUCAUCAGCUACCAAAAGUUAUUCUACGCCGAUGUGCUAAGUUGUCUGUGGAAAAAGUUAUUCGAGGUACAAAGACUUAAAAUUUUCUCAAUUUUUCCUAAAAAAUUCCUCAUUUUGCCACUUUGGAUGCUUAUAACUCGGUCAGUUUCCAAUGGAUCUUCAAUUGUAACACAGAUUUGGAAAGAUCUGCUCAUCAGCUACCAAAAGUUAUUCUACGCCGAUGUGCUAAGUUGUCUGUGGAAAAAGUUAUUGGAGGUACAAAGACUUAACUUUUUCUCAAUUUUUCUAAAAAAAUUCCUCAUUUUGCCACUUUGGAUGCUUAUAACUCGGUCAGUUUCCAAUGGAUCUUCAAUUGUAGCACAUAUUUGGAUAGAUCUGGUCAUUAGCUACCAAAAGUUAUUCUACGCCGAUGUGCUAAGUUGUCUGUGGAAAAAGUUAUUCGAGGUACAAAGACUUAACAUUUUCUCAACUUUUCCAAAAAAAUUCCUCAUUUUGCCACUUUGGAUGCUUAUAACUCGGUCAGUUUCCAAUGGAUCUUCAAUUGUAGCACAUAUUUGGAUAGAUCUGGUCAUUAGCUACCAAAAGUUAUUCUACGCCGAUGUGCUAAGUUGUCUGUGGAAAAAGUUAUUCGAGGUACAAAGACUUAACAUUUUCUCAAUUUUUCUAAAAAAAUUCCUCAUUUUGCCACUUUGGAUGCUUAUAACUCGGUCAGUUUCCAAUGGAUCUUCAAUUGUAGCACAUAUUUGGAUAGAUCUGGUCAUUAGCUACCAAAAGUUAUUCUACGCCGAUGUGCUAAGUUGUCUGUGGAAAAAGUUAUUCGAGGUACAAAGACUUAACAUUUUCUCAACUUUUCCAAAAAAAUUCCUCAUUUUGCCACUUUGGAUGCUUAUAACUCGGUCAGUUUCCAAUGGAUCUUCAAUUGUAGCACAUAUUUGGAAAGAUCUGCUCAUCAGCUACCAAAAGUUAUUCUACGCCGAUGUGCUAAGUUGUCUGUGGAAAAAGUUAUUCGAGGUACAAAGACUUAACAUUUUCUCAACUUUUCCAAAAAAAUUCCUCAUUUUGCCACUUUGGAUGCUUAUAACUCGGUCAGUUUCCAAUGGAUCUUCAAUUGUAGCACAUAUUUGGAUAGAUCUGGUCAUUAGCUACCAAAAGUUAUUCUACGCCGAUGUGCUAAGUUGUCUGUGGAAAAAGUUAUUCGAGGUACAAAGACUUAACAUUUUCUCAACUUUCCAAAAAAAAAUCCUCAUUUUGCCACUUUGGAUGCUUAUAACUCGGUCAGUUUCCAAUGGAUCUUCAAUUGUAGCACAUAUUUGGAUAGAUCUGGUCAUUAGCUACCAAAAGUUAUUCUACGCCGAUGUGCUAAGUUGUCUGUGGAAAAAGUUAUUCGAGGUACAAAGACUUAACAUUUUCUCAACUUUUCCAAAAAAAUUCCUCAUUUUGCCACUUUGGAUGCUUAUAACUCGGUCAGUUUCCAAUGGAUCUUCAAUUGUACCACAUAUUUGGAUAGAUCUGGUCAUUAGCUACCAAAAGUUAUUCUACGCCGAUGUGCUAAGUUGUCUGUGGAAAAAGUUAUUCGAGGUACAAAGACUUAAAAUUUUCUCAAUUUUUCCAAAAAAAUUCCUCAUUUUGCCACUUUGGAUGCUUAUAACUCGGUCAGUUUCCAAUGGAUCUUGAAUUGUAGCACAUAUUUGGAUAGAUCUGGUCAUUAGCUACCAAAAGUUAUUCUACGUCGAUGUGCUAAGUUGUCUGUGGAAAAAGUUAUUCGAGGUACAAAGACUUAACAUUUUCUCAACUUUCCAAAAAAAAAUCCUCAUUUUGCCACUUUGGAUGCUUAUAACUCGGUCAGUUUCCAAUGGAUCUUCAAUUGUAGCACAUAUUUGGAUAGAUCUGGUCAUUAGCUACCAAAAGUUAUUCUACGCCGAUGUGCUAAGUUGUCUGUGGAAAAAGUUAUUUGAGGUACAAAGACUUAACAUUUUCUCAACUUUUCCAAAAAAAUUCCUCAUUUUGCCAUUUUGGAUGCUUAUAACUCGGACAGUUUCCAAUGGAUCUUCAAUUGUAGCACAUAUUUGGAUAGAUCUGGUCAUUAGCUACCAAAAGUUAUUCUACGCCGAUGUGCUAAGUUGUCUGUGGAAAAAGUUAUUUGAGGUACAAAGACUUAACAUUUUCUCAAUUUUUCUAAAAAAAUUCCUCAUUUUGCCACUUUGGAUGCUUAUAACUCGGUCAGUUUCCAAUGGAUCUUCAAUUGUAGCACAUAUUUGGAUAGAUCUGGUCAUUAGCUACCAAAAGUUAUUCUACGCCGAUGUGCUAAGUUGUCUGUGGAAAAAGUUAUUCGAGGUACAAAGACUUAACAUUUUCUCAACUUUUCCAAAAAAAUUCCUCAUUUUGCCACUUUGGAUGCUUAUAACUCGGUCAGUUUCCAAUGGAUCUUCAAUUGUAGCACAUAUUUGAAUAGAUCUGGUCAUUAGCUACCAAAAGUUAUUCUACGCCGAUGUGCUAAGUUGUCUGUGGAAAAAGUUAUUCGAGGUACAAAGACUUAACAUUUUCUCAACUUUUCCAAAAAAAUUCCUCAUUUUGCCACUUUGGAUGCUUAUAACUCGGUCAGUUUUCAAUGGAUCUUCAAUUGUAGCACAUAUUUGGAUAGAUCUGGUCAUUAGCUACCAAAAGUUAUUCUACGCCGAUGUGCUAAGUUGUCUGUGGAAAAAGUUAUUCGAGGUACAAAGACUUAACAUUUUCUCAACUUUUCCAAAAAAUUCCUCAUUUUGCCACUUUGGAUGCUUAUAACUCGGUCAGUUUCCGAAGGAUCUUCAAUUGUAGCACAUAUUUGGAUAGAUCUGGUCAUUAGCUACCAAAAGUUAUUCUACGCCGAUGUGCUAAGUUGUCUGUGGAAAAAGUUAUUCGAGGUACAAAGACUUAACAUUUUCUCAACUUUUCCAAAAAAAUUCCUCAUUUUGCCACUUUGGAUGCUUAUAACUCGGUCAGUUUCCAAUGGAUCUUCAAUUGUAGCACAUAUUUGGAUAGAUCUGGUCAUUAGCUACCAAAAGUUAUUCUACGCCGAUGUGCUAAGUUGUCUGUGGAAAAAGUUAUUCGAGGUACAAAGACUUAACAUUUUCUCAACUUUUCCAAAAAAAAUUCCUCAUUUUGCCACUUUGGAUGCUUAUAACUCGGUCAGUUUCCAAUGGAUCUUCAAUUGUAGCACAUAUUUGGAUAGAUCUGGUCAUUAGCUACCAAAAGUUAUUCUACGCCGAUGUGCUAAGUUGUCUGUGGAAAAAGUUAUUCGAGGAACAAAGACUUAACAUUUUCUCAACUUUUCCAAAAAAAUUCCUCAUUUUGCCACUUUGGAUGCUUAUAACUCAGUCAGUUUCCAAUGGAUCUUCAAUUGUAGCACAUAUUUGGAUAGAUCUGGUCAUUAGCUACCAAAAGUUAUUCUACGCCGAUGUGCUAAGUUGUCUGUGGAAAAAGUUAUUCGAGGAACAAAGACUUAACAUUUUCUCAACUUUUCCAAAAAAAUUCCUCAUUUUGCCACUUUGGAUGCUUAUAACUCAGUCAGUUUCCAAUGGAUCUUCAAUUGUAGCACAUAUUUGGAUAGAUCUGGUCAUUAGCUACCAAAAGUUAUUCUACGCCGAUGUGCUAAGUUGUCUGUGGAAAAAGUUAUUCGAGGUACAAAGACUUAACAUUUUCUCAACUUUUCCAAAAAAAUUCCUCAUUUUGCCACUUUGGAUGCUUAUAACUCGGUCAGUUUCCAAUGGAUCUUCAAUUGUAGCACAUAUUUGGAUAGAUCUGGUCAUUAGCUACCAAAAGUUAUUCUACGCCGAUGUGCUAAGUUGUCUGUGGAAAAAGUUAUUCGAAGUACAAAGACUUAACAUUUUCUCAACUUUUCCAAAAAAAUUCCUCAUUUUGCCACUUUGGAUGCUUAUAACUCGGUCAGUUUCCAAUGGAUCUUCAAUUGUAGCACAUAUUUGGAUAGAUCUGGUCAUUAGCUACCAAAAGUUAUUCUACGCCGAUGUGCUAAGUUGUCUGUGGAAAAAGUUAUUCGAGGUACAAAGACUUAACAUUUUCUCAACUUUUCCAAAAAAUUCCUCAUUUUGCCACUUUGGAUGCUUAUAACUCGGUCAGUUUCCGAAGGAUCUUCAAUUGUAGCACAUAUUUGGAUAGAUCUGGUCAUUAGCUACCAAAAGUUAUUCUACGCCGAUGUGCUAAGUUGUCUGUGGAAAAAGUUAUUCGAGGUACAAAGACUUAACAUUUUCUCAACUUUUCCAAAAAAAUUCCUCAUUUUGCCACUUUGGAUGCUUAUAACUCGGUCAGUUUCCAAUGGAUCUUCAAUUGUAGCACAUAUUUGGAUAGAUCUGGUCAUUAGCUACCAAAAGUUAUUCUACGCCGAUGUGCUAAGUUGUCUGUGGAAAAAGUUAUUCGAGGUACAAAGACUUAACAUUUUCUCAACUUUUCCAAAAAAAUUCCUCAUUUUGCCACUUUGGAUGCUUAUAACUCGGUCAGUUUCCAAUGGAUCUUCAAUUGUAGCACAUAUUUGGAUAGAUCUGGUCAUUAGCUACCAAAAGUUAUUCUACGCCGAUGUGCUAAGUUGUCUGUGGAAAAAGUUAUUCGAGGUACAAAGACUUAACAUUUUCUCAACUUUUCCAAAAAAAAUUCCUCAUUUUGCCACUUUGGAUGCUUAUAACUCGGUCAGUUUCCAAUGGAUCUUCAAUUGUAGCACAUAUUUGGAUAGAUCUGGUCAUUAGCUACCAAAAGUUAUUCUACGCCGAUGUGCUAAGUUGUCUGUGGAAAAAGUUAUUCGAGGUACAAAGACUUAACAUUUUCUCAACUUUUCCAAAAAAAUUCCUCAUUUUGCCACUUUGGAUGCUUAUAACUCGGUCAGUUUCCAAUGGAUCUUCAAUUGUAGCACAUAUUUGGAUAGAUCUGGUCAUUAGCUACCAAAAGUUAUUCUACGCCGAUGUGCUAAGUUGUCUGUGGAAAAAGUUAUUCGAGGUACAAAGACUUAACAUUUUCUCAACUUUUCCAAAAAAAUUCCUCAUUUUGCCACUUUGGAUGCUUAUAACUCGGUCAGUUUCCAAUGGAUCUUCAAUUGUAGCACAUAUUUGGAUAGAUCUGGUCAUUAGCUACCAAAAGUUAUUCUACGCCGAUGUGCUAAGUUGUCUGUGGAAAAAGUUAUUCGAGGUACAAAGACUUAACAUUUUCUCAACUUUUCCAAAAAAAUUCCUCAUUUUGCCACUUUGGAUGCUUAUAACUCGGUCAGUUUCCAAUGGAUCUUCAAUUGUAGCACAUAUUUGGAUAGAUCUGGUCAUUAGCUACCAAAAGUUAUUCUACGCCGAUGUGCUAAGUUGUCUGUGGAAAAAGUUAUUUGAGGUACAAAGACUUAACAUUUUCUCAACUUUUCCAAAAAAAAUUCCUCAUUUUGCCACUUUGGAUGCUUAUAACUCGGUCAGUUUCCAAUGGAUCUUCAAUUGUAGCACAUAUUUGGAUAGAUCUGGUCAUUAGCUACCAAAAGUUAUUCUACGCCGAUGUGCUAAGUUGUCUGUGGAAAAUGUUAUUCGAGGUACAAAGACUUAACAUUUUCUCAACUUUUCCAAAAAAAAUUUCUCAUUUUGCAUCUUUGGAUGCUUAUAACUCGGUCAGUUUCCAAUGGAUCUUCAAUUGUAGCACAUAUUUGGAUAGAUCUGGUCAUUAGCUACCAAAAGUUAUUCUACGCCGAUGUGCUAAGUUGUCUGUGGAAAAAGUUAUUCGAGGUACAAAGACUUAACAUUUUCUCAACUUUUCCAAAAAAAUUCCUCAUUUUGCCACUUUGGAUGCUUAUAACUCGGUCAGUUUCCAAUGGAUCUUCAAUUGUAGCACAUAUUUGGAUAGAUCUGGUCAUUAGCUACCAAAAGUUAUUCUACGCCGAUGUGCUAAGUUGUCUGUGGAAAAAGUUAUUCGAGGUACAAAGACUUAACAUUUUCUCAACUUUUCCAAAAAAAUUCCUCAUUUUGCCACUUUGGAUCCUUAUAACUCGGUCAGUUUCCAAUGGAUCUUCAAUUGUAGCACAUAUUUGGAUAGAUCUGGUCAUUAGCUACCAAAAGUUAUUCUACGCCGAUGUGCUAAGUUGUCUGUGGAAAAAGUGAUUCGAGGUACAAAGACUUAACAUUUUCUCAAUUUUUCUAAAAAAAUUCCUCAUUUUGCCACUUUGGAUGCUUAUAACUCGGUCAGUUUCCAAUGGAUCUUCAAUUGUAGCACAUAUUUGGAAAGAUCU